rnacentral:tmRNA from 1 species
GGGGCUGAUUCUGGAUUCGACGGGAUUUGCGAAACCCAAGGUGCAUGCCGAGGGGCGGUUGGCCUCGUAAAAAGCCGCAAAAAAAUAGUCGCAAACGACGAAAACUACGCUUUAGCAGCUUAAUAACCUGCUUAGAGCCCUCUCUCCCUAUCCUCCGCUCUUAGGACGGGGAUCAAGAGAGGUCAAACCCAAAAGAGAUCGCGCGGAUGCCCUGCCUGGGGUUGAAGCGUUAAAACGAAUCAGGCUAGUCUGGUAGUGGCGUGUCCGUCCGCAGGUGCCAGGCGAAUGUAAAGACUGACUAAGCAUGUAGUACCGAGGAUGUAGGAAUUUCGGACGCGGGUUCAACUCCCGCCAGCUCCACCA